GUCUUCGUAGCUCAGUUGGAUAGAGCGCUCGCCUCCUAAGCGAGAGGUCGGCGGUCCGAAUCCGCCCGAGGACA
rnacentral:tRNA from 1 species